rnacentral:rRNA from 1 species
AUUGAACGCUGGCGGCAUGCCUUACACAUGCAAGUCGAACGGUAACAGGUUAAGCUGACGAGUGGCGAACGGGUGAGUAAUGUAUCGGAACGUGCCCAGUCGUGGGGGAUAACUGCUCGAAAGAGCAGCUAAUACCGCAUACGACCUGAGGGUGAAAGCGGGGGAUCGCAAGACCUCGCGCGAGUGGAGCGGCCGAUAUCAGAUUAGGUAGUUGGUGGGGUAAAGGCUUACCAAGCCUACGAUCUGUAGCUGGUCUGAGAGGACGACCAGCCACACUGGGACUGAGACACGGCCCAGACUCAUACGGGAGGCAGCAGUGGGGAAUUUUGGACAAUGGACGCAAGUCUGAUCCAGCCAUGCCGCGUGCGGGAAGAAGGCCUUCGGGUUGUAAACCGCUUUUGUCAGGGAAGAAAAGGUUCUGGUUAAUACCUGGGACUCAUGACGGUACCUGAAGAAUAAGCACCGGCUAACUACGUGCCAGCAGCCGCGGUAAAAC